AAAUUGAAGAGUUUGAUCAUGGCUCAGAUUGAACGCUGGCGGCAGGCCUAACACAUGCAAGUCGAACGGUAACAGGAAGCAGCUUGCUGCUUUGCUGACGAGUGGCGGACGGGUGAGUAAUGUCUGGGAAACUGCCUGAUGGAGGGGGAUAACUACUGGAAACGGUAGCUAAUACCGCAUAACGUCGCAAGACCAAAGAGGGGGACCUUCGGGCCUCUUGCCAUCGGAUGUGCCCAGAUGGGAUUAGCUAGUAGGUGGGGUAACGGCUCACCUAGGCGACGAUCCCUAGCUGGUCUGAGAGGAUGACCAGCCACACUGGAACUGAGACACGGUCCAGACUCCUACGGGAGGCAGCAGUGGGGAAUAUUGCACAAUGGGCGCAAGCCUGAUGCAGCCAUGCCGCGUGUAUGAAGA
rnacentral:rRNA from 2 species